rnacentral:lncRNA from 1 species
AAUGGAAUGAUUUACAUGGGGAAGGUGGCUCGAGAAAGAAGCAACAGUUAUCUUACUUCCUAUAAAGCAUACAUGUACAUACAAACAAAAAUAAAGGAAUAGCAUAUACAAUGGAAUUGCACAUGGAAUUCACAUAACAAAAAUAAAGAACAUAAAGUUUCUGUUCUUAUUCAUAUAUAAUUACACAUGUAACAGGCAAGGAUAGCACCAUUAGGCAAAAGA